rnacentral:hammerhead_ribozyme from 1 species
AUCCAGCUGACGAGUCCCAAAUAGGACGAAACGCGUAUCCAUGAU